CGCAGCCGCGGUAAUUCCAGCUCCAAUAGCGUAUAUUAAAGUUGUUGCAGUUAAAAAGCUCGUAGUUGAAUUUCGGGAUUGACGUGAUGGUCAUGCCUUAAGGGGUAUGAACUGUUACUGUUGAUUUCUCACCUUCUGGAGAAACUUGAUGUCCUUUAUUGGGUGUCUUGCGGAUCCAGGACCUUUACCUUGAAAAAUUAGAGUGUUUAAAGCAGGCAUUUUUGCUCGAAUACAUUAGCAUGGAAUAAUAGAAUAGGACGGCAUGGUUCUAUUUUGUUGGUUUCUAGGACCACCGUAAUGAUUAAUAGGGAUAGUUGGGGGCAUUAGUAUUCAAUUGUCAGAGGUGAAAUUCUUGGAUUUAUUGAAGACUAACUACUGCGAAAGCAUUUGCCAAGGAUGUUUUCAUUAAUCAAGAACGAAAGUUAGGGGAUCGAAGACGAUCAGAUACCGUCGUAGUCUUGACCAUAAACUAUGCCGACUAGGAAUCAGACGAUGUUAAUUUUUAAUGUACUCGUUUGGC
rnacentral:misc_RNA from 1 species